UGUAGACUCCUUGACUUCAGAUUGUGAC
rnacentral:piRNA from 1 species